GAUGAACGCUGGCGGCGUGCUUAACACAUGCAAGUCGAACGAAGCACUUUAUUUGAUUUCCUUCGGGACUGAUUAUUUUGUGACUGAGUGGCGGACGGGUGAGUAACGCGUGGGUAACCUGCCUUGUACAGGGGGAUAACAGUUGGAAACGGCUGCUAAUACCGCAUAAGCGCACAGCAUUGCAUGAUGCAGUGUGAAAAACUCCGGUGGUAUAAGAUGGACCCGCGUUGGAUUAGCUAGUUGGUGAGGUAACGGCCCACCAAGGCGACGAUCCAUAGCCGACCUGAGAGGGUGACCGGCCACAUUGGGACUGAGACACGGCCCAAACUCCUACGGGAGGCAGCAGUGGGGAAUAUUGCACAAUGGGCGAAAGCCUGAUGCAGCGACGCCGCGUGAGCGAAGAAGUAUUUCGGUAUGUAAAGCUCUAUCAGCAGGGAAGAUAAUGACGGUACCUGACUAAGAAGCACCGGCUAAAUACGUG
rnacentral:rRNA from 1 species